GUGGUCGUAGCUCAAUUGGUUAGAGCACUCGGUUGUGGUCCGAGCGGUUGGGAGUUCAAGUCUCCUCGUCCACCC
rnacentral:tRNA from 1 species